GCGUUAACGCGAAAAUUCCCGUUGCAACGUAAUUUCGCGAAGGAGUUCUCUAGCGUCUGGUUGCGUUUCGCGAAAUUCGUUGAGUCGCUCGAUUAAUUAUUCGAGAAGAACAGGGAGGAGAGGAGGGAUUCGCGGAAACGCGAAUAAGCGAUUCAAGAGGUUCGAGGUCGAUCGAGAUAUCGCUGGAGCGGCGGCGAUAUCGCGACGGUGCCGCUGGAAAUUUUAUCAAUACCGCGGCCGUCUAGUCGCUGACAGUCGUUCGUGAAAAGUACGCGGUCAUCUGACGGGGUUGCCAGGACCACCGGAUAGCUCUAGUUCAGGAAACCAGCAGCGACCGACGAACAACAUGGCCACCGAGGGCGGUCUAACAGCGGAUGCGGCUGCAGCAGGUGCAGGUUCCGGUGAGAUCGUCGGGGGUCCCAGGACGCCUCAGCAAAUCGCCUCGCAGAAACGAUUGCAGGCGACGCAGGCGCAGGUCGACGAGGUCGUCGACAUCAUGAAAACGAACGUUGAGAAGGUCCUGGAACGUGAUCAAAAGCUCUCCGAACUCGAUGAUCGGGCAGACGCGCUACAGCAAGGAGCGUCACAGUUUGAGCAACAAGCAGGGAAACUGAAAAGGAAGUUUUGGCUUCAAAAUCUAAAGAUGAUGAUCAUCAUGGGCAUCAUGGUGCUGAUCGUAUUGGCCAUUAUUGUCGCGGGCGUCACCAGCGGCAGCGACUCGCAAAAUUGAACACGUGAGUAAAGUUAAGCCACCCCCCUCCCCCCCAAAAAAAAGAAAAACAAAAGAAAAAAAGAAAGAAACAACAACUGCAGCAACAACGGCAAAAGAUAAGGAACCACAGCGAGAAAGGGAAAGGAACGGCGAGAGUUGAGAAAACGAAUCAAGGCGUUCGAAUAAAAAGACAAGCAUCGACCGACGACGGGAUCGAGGUGCUAGAAAAAUCGAGUCGAAUCGGAGGAAGCCUUGGAGAACGAUGGAAAGAAAUGAAAGAUGCGUCGUCGUCGGACCGUUCAUCUUUCGUAAAUUAUUGACAAAAUAACUGGAAGAAGAUCCUGGUGGUUCGGACUCCGGAAAAUGGAGAAAAUUUCAUUGAUAACGAAGUGGUUCUACUCGGUCCGGAUAGAUCGGGGAACGCGACGUGAUCAUGGUUCCUUUCGCAGCUCCGACUCACGUUCCAGGUCUUCGAGAGGGGAAUACGAUCGAGUUUUCCUCGACCUCUCGCAAAUGGACGAAGGCUGGCCACGGAAACCGCGAACCUGCGCGGACGUUCUCGUUGACUCUCACGGUUCUCGGGAACAGUAACGAUAAUCGCGAACGAAGAACGAUCAAAGAGAAAAACGUAGACUCAUACGGAUAGACGGGACUCUUUCAGUUAAAGAACGCAACGUUAGGACGGAGAGCAAUGAGCUGGGUUCAAAGUUGCCACAGAUUAUUAACGAGUGUGAAGUAGGAUAAUUUUGUUCCUGAGACGUUAUCGGCGUAUAGUACUGUGCAAGAGUCUUGGGCCACUAUGGCACAUUACACUUUUUAUUUACACUUUUAUUUGUAUCGUUAAAGAAAGUGUAUGCAUUUUGAUUUAAUUCAUAUAUUUAUUUCACCAAUAUUAUUGUAGAGUCCAUUGCCUGGAAUUAAACAAAAAUUACAUAAAUUCAAGGGAGAAUUUAAUAUUUUGAUUGUUUUUUAGUCCUACCAAAAGUGGGACACGUGGCAACUCUGACGAAAGUCAUUGCAUCUUUUCUAACGCGUUUGUUACUGAGAGGGGAUAAGAAAAAAUGUCGAUAGCGCACUAGGAGAAUGAAUACGUCUUGCCUUCAAAGUCAUUGCGUAAUAGUAACACAACGAUCAUGUCAAAAACAGCCGAGCUACAUCCUCCAUUAAUUCCUAGCAGGGGGUUACAGCUCCUCGGGCGCCGCUACAGCGACAAACUGAACCGCUACGCGCACGACUUAAAGCUGUGAGACCCCUAUCCUGUUAAGACUGCUUAUAAGGUUCCUUCGAUAAGGAGCGCAAGUAAAACAGAAGAUUCUUCAUUCAUAUAGCUAAUUUGCAAAGUUUUCUGAUUUUGUCUCUUUUAUAAAAACAGGAACGAAGCGCCGUUAUAACAAUUUGCUUGUAUAAAUUUAAUAGUACUUUACUUUUAGACGAGGAAUAUUUAUAUACUCAUGGAAUAAUGUGAAUUGGAAUGGAAUUCUGAGACGUGAAUCAGUGGAACAUGAAAUAGAGAUGAAAUAGUGACGUGAUUAUGUCUGUGUAUUAUUUAGUUACGUGUGAGACACGUAACCACUCUGUACGACAAAAUGGCGCGAUUACCAAUAACCAACGCUCUUUAUAAACCUAUUUUUUGACAUUAGGCUGUUUAUACAUACCACAGGCGUUAGCGAGUCGUCAAUUAUGCUUCUAUGCAUAUGAUUUGAUAUUUCGACGAAAGCAACGCUUAUACAUUCUCCCGACGCGCCAUUACUACCGUUGCCACGCGAGAAGAAUGAAUCCGACAUGGUAACAUACAUGUACACUUGACUUGGUGGUUGUGUAUUAUUAAAACCGCGUCUGUGGGACAAAACAACGAGCCUAUCAAUAGACGAUGCUCUUCGUAGCUCGAACGCGACAAUUCUUGUGUUCAUUCUCCUCCCAUGCCAACAGUAGCGAUCGUAACUGCAAACUAUGUGUCUUCGGUUGGAUAUCAGCGCUUCCCUAAGAGCGCGCAGUCUAUUCGUACUAAUCUACGAGAAAGAACCAUCGCGAUUCCCUUCAGAGAAAAGCGACGAACCGUCGACGAAAUCCUCGCCUUCCUUUGUCCAUUUUUUAUUAGUUCACGCGGAGGAAACGAGGAAGAGAAAUAAACGACGUGUGUACAAAAGAGACCGAAAUAACCGUGAAUCGCGUAAACGUGCUAAUUCGCAAUUUGCUCGCGGGGAAAACCAGUAGGAUCCUAUUCGACGAAGGCAGCGCGUAGGGUGUUCCUCGUUUUGUCCCUUCUCUCCGUGAAGAAGCGUGGGAUAUAAAUAAAUAAAUGAAUAAAUAAUAAAUAAAUAGAUAAAUAAAUAAAUGCGUGUAUAAAUGUAUAUCGACGUUUACUUUAUAAACUAACACGUAUGCUGGCUCGACGACGCGGGGCGCGCGAUCCGUCAACGAAGCCGGCGACGAGGAUCUCGACUUCCAUCGAGAUCGAGGCUUAAAUUGUAAACUCGCCGAACUGUUUCCACCUUGGUUGAGCCCCGGUCGAAAUUCGUUCGACCAAGGAACUCCAAUUUGCCGCUCGGAUGCAUUCUAAUUUCCUUCGGAUCGUCUUCGUUCGCGCAGUUCCCUUUCCUUCCACGGACGCGACACCGAGCGGGCUGUACUUAGAUUAAGCACAAGGGGAAAUGACGAAAAUCGGUAUGAUUUUUACGCUUCGAUGGGUUCCCGUUGGACACCCGCAAAAAUCACCCAUGGAUCGCGCGACCGGAUCCCGCGCUCCGCGCGUGACGCACAUUCGUACGCUUCUAUCUAUAAAUCAUCCGACAAUUGUAACCCGUCAAAUAACCGCGGAUUAAUCUUUUAUCUUGACGUUUUCAAAUUUUUGUGUACAAUUGUUAUAUACAAUAUGUAAUAUAUGCAUUUGUUGAAAAAUGUCUUUAAGACCAGUAGGUAGGUUUAGUGCUAAAUAACAUAUUUUUUUCAAUCUGUAGAAAUGAUAACUCAUUAAAUAAUUGACCGAUUGGUUCCAAAUUUUAUGAAAAAUUGGAAUGAUAUCAUUGUUUAAAGCAGAGCUGCAAAUUCUUAAUUACCAUUACGUAAUGAUUACUUUCACCAAGUAAUUAAAUAAUUGCCAUUACAAUUACGCUGUCGCAUGUAAUGAUAUUUGCAAUUACUUAACUACUACCUGUAAUUCAAUGACUUUUUAAUAACUACUUAUAACUGUCCAGAAAGUAAUCAAAAGGCGUAUCAAAUUUAAAGUAGUUAAAAAUACCUAAAAGUUAUAAUUACUAUUUAAUGUAUUUUAGAUUUGGGAUACCUUUUAAUUACUUUCUGGUUAGUUAUAAGCAACUAUAAUAAGUAAUUGAAUUACUCAGUAACUAAGAUACAAAAGUAAUCAUUACUUUACAGCUCUGGUUUAAAGUAUGUUUUUUUAAAUAAGUUACACAAUGGUGAAAAUUGAUAGUUUUUCUUUAAUCACUCCUUGGAAAAUCAAUGUAGUAUAACCGGAUGACUUCUGGAUGGAAUUGUACAUACAUCUCGUGCUGUAAAUAAUAUCAUUUCUCCUUCACGUUCGCUCGAUUACGACCAACCACCGCCGAUUAAACACGAACAUAACUCGAGGGUAAAAGAACGUAAGAAAGUGAGUGAGAGCGAGAAAGUGCGAGAGAAAGAAUUCAUCCUUUGUUCUUUCGCGUCCGUGUCCUUCUCUGUCGAGUCGAGAUUAAUAAAAUAAUAGAGGAGCGAGGUACGUUAGCGGCAAAUCUUCGUCGAAGACGGCAACGAACGUUUUCGAGCAGGUAACGCACGGUACGAAACGAGAAAACGAGGCAGCACGGCGCUUCCCCGCUUUCAAGUGACAAUUUCUCAACCCCGGUUUCGAGUAACGCGUUUUAUCCAAAAAGAUUAUAUUAGAUAAAGUAGGCAAGUCGAAGAAGUGUAACGCGACCAGAAAAAGAAAAAGAUUGAGUGCACGCUUGUGUCACGUUAAGAAACUUUGAUGGAAGAGAAUACAAAUUGAAGAGAAAUGUCACGCUAAUAAGCUCUGGUCAGCGUCAGAUGGAUUAUAAGGGAGGAACCCGGUUUAGGACGCUGAAAAUGAGGCAUUUUUUUCAGAAUAGAACUUGCUGAAAAUUUGAUAUGCUAUAAAAACCGAUAUUAUGAACCAUUAAAAAAGAAAAAAUAAUUAUUGACCGCCACAUUACUGAGGUAUAAUUUAUUGAAAUCUGAAACUGCACAUAAAAAAGUUGCCCAGUAACAGUCGGCGUUGUUGCUGCAAUAACUUCUCGAGUAUUACGAAAAUGUAUUGAUAUAUUAUGCAGAUAUGUAAGAGCAAUAAAGUUGUUCUUUUACGAAAGUUUCCAAUUGGCGAUUUUCGAUUUCUGAAUGUGACUAUCUCGAAACAACUAACUUACACAAAAAAAAAAAACAAAAGAUUUUCUUGUUUAUUAUAUAAAUACAUAACCGAUAAACCGAUUAUUUUUUAAAAAUUUGUAAAAAAAAUGCCUUAUUACCAGCGUUCUGAAUCGAAGUUCCUCCUUAAUUCCUAUGACUUCCCCUAAGCAAGUAAAUUCUGAUUUAAAAUUCUGAUGCGUAUGCAAACAUAGACAGAAACAGAGAUAUUCUCUCGAUUUGUUCUAUCUGUGUUCUCCACAGCGACUCCUAUGACUUCUCUACUCUAUCUACUGGGUGUUCUAAAAAUCUUUGAGUUCCUUGAAAGAGGUGGUUCGGGAGGUGAUUUGAAACAACUUGUUUCUUAGCGAAAAUGUUGUUCGUGGCUUCGUUAAGGAGAUAUUAACAAAAGUCCGAACAAUCAGAGCGCGAGUACGCUGCGGCGCCGGUGGAGCGCCCGCAGUAGAAUAGGGUACGCGAUAGACAGGCACAGUAGCUUAGGCUACGCGCUGGACAGCCGCAGUAGCAUAGGCUACGUGCUAGACAGCCGCGCUCUGAUUGAUCGGGGUUUACUGUUAAUCCUUUGCACUCGAGAGGUGACUCUCAGUCAGCAUUAAGUUUCACGCAGCAAAUCUACAAUACUUAAUGUUUCUUUAGGUUUAAUUUGUUUGGAACUCGAACUAUCGAUAAAAUGAUUGUCGGCGAGGUAAAGGUUACCUUAUUCUCAAAUCUAGAUAGCUUAGAAUUCAUGGCAAUAGAAUGCUAAAAAAACAUCUCGAGUUGCUGACAGAUACCAGAAGAAAGACCUCAAGUGCAAAGGAUUAAUAUCUCCUUAACGAAACCUCGGACAACAUUUUCGCUAAGGAAAAAGUUGUUUCAAAUCACCCCCCGAACCAUCCCUCAAAAUGACCUCCAACAUUUUUGGGACGCCCUGUAUAUAAUCUCUUUGAUUUCCACCAACACUGUUCACGAUUUAUGUAGCGCGAGAGCGAUCUUCCUUCGGCUUCGGUUCGAGAUCAAGGUCGCUACCUGCCCCGCUGUUGUCACUUGAAAGCAACGACUACCGUCGUAAGGAACAAUGUUAAAAAAGAAAAAGUGGUUAAAUAAGAACCAUGAGAAGAACGAGAACGAAAAGUGGGUAGAGGACGCCUCGAGGCUCGCUCGGGGCGCUUAUAUAGAUUCGUUUUAAGGCUUGAAGAAUUAUCUACAGAUGUUAUGUAUACAUGUUAAUAAUAUUAAUAACAAUAAUAAUAAUGCUAAUAAGAACGAGAAUAAGAAUAAUUACGAUAAUGACGACAACAAUAACGAUAACAAUAGUGCAGAAACGAAUUAACGUUACGACGACAGUCGUCAAUUCCUUUGGAUCGGUUAACGAUUAGAAAUAAAGUACACGUGUUACGGGCUGUCCUUGAUAAAGCAAAGACACCAAUUUGCCAUCCUUUCGAUGUCUAUUCUCUCUAAACCGUGCUGGAAUUUCAACUUCGAGAUUAAUGGUCUCGAAUUGGACUAUUCCCAUAGUAUGUGUCGAUUAAUAACGCAAGUUGCUAUUGAAAGAACACCUGAUGAACGAAAAAAGCUUCGAUUGAAAUUGAAGCAUUUGUGAACGUGUGUGUCUACACGAUCAUUUUUAUUCGUAGACUCGAUUCUACGAGUAUACGUCUUUUUUCGUCGAUAUCAGACCUGGGUACAUUUUAUUUGAAAUAACAUUUUACUUUUUUUAUUUUCCGCGUCGUUACUUGGUAAUAACCGAAAUGAUGAAUUUUUGAACAGGAAGUAUUUACAGUAAGUUUUGUGAUAACAACGUUACUAUUUAUACAGUAAUUAUUAAUUACUAAUUAAAUAUUUACUUGCAGUUUCUAAACACUCAUGUGUUAUUUACUAAUAGAAAAUUUACAAUUUUUAAUCUGCUAUAUUUGUCAUUUAUAUAAAUCAUUGCCACAUCGUGUAUGAUAAUUUAACAAUUAAUAUACAUUGCUAAUACACAAAAUGCCAAUAAAGUAGAUACAUUUUGCUUUUGAAUUAUUUUCAUGUUAAUCAUUUUAAUGAUACCAAAUUCAAUUUCAUUUAUCAAAAACAUCGAAAUUAUUUUAUUAUUUCGAACACGGAAUGUUAAUUUAAAAUUAUUUAGGAAUCAUUUCCAUCAGCUGAUGACAAGACCUCAUUGGUUUCAAUAAGAGAUAAAAAUUGGACUAAUAUUUCAAGUAAGGUUACUUCAUAAGUGUUCAGGCCUGAGCGACAUCCUCCAUCUUAGGAAUCGAAAUCCCUAAAAUUUCUUAUUGCUCAACCGCUAUACAUGAAUUCGAAUUAGGAAAAGAAUAUCCCGGCAUCCUAAUUUUCCUAACAGAUAGAGGGACUAUAGAAAGAGGAUCUAUAGUUAAAUAUUUUUGUUUCUUUGGUUUUCGUUUCGUUUAUAACAAGGACCAAUAAUAGUUUUUUGUAAACUAUUAUUACAAACUUUUAUAAACCAGAUAUUACAAACCAUUUAUUAUAAACUGGUUAUAAACAAAAUGGAACACUUUUCAUGCGUCAACGUUUUGGGUACGAUCGUGUUAGGUUCGUCCUCCCUAUUCGAUAUUUCGUCCAUCUUUUUCUCUCGACAAUUCGAUUAAUUCUCGAGUGACAAUAUCGCCGAACGAAGUCAGCGAAGAGAAAUGCAUCUUGAUCACGGUCUCGGCCAGAAAGGUAUCGAAAGCACGGUCGAUCCCCUCGACCUGUAAAAAUGCUUCUUCACGCCCACAAGAAGAGGAUCCUUUUAGAACCUAGUAUUUUUUUAACUCCAAUAGGAGGUAAGAAUACCGAAUGUUCAUUUCUUUUUGUUGAUUUGCUUCUAUAAAUAUCACCUCUGCCUACACUCUAACUGAACUAUCUCCCAAAACAAUUUCGAGUGUUUCGACGUGACUGUAGCUUCGAGAAAAGUGCAUCGGUAGUCGUGAUUGAAAUAUAAAUUACAAACAAAGGAAGACUUUUUUUCGAUACACGAGUUAUCGAUCGCCAAUGGAACAGACAGACACAUAACUCUUCGUUUUGUUUCACUUUUCUUUUCAUUUAGUCGAAUUUUACGCUGAAAAUUCAUUUUCUAUAAAAAAAGAAGUGCAGUGUUAUGGAGAACGAAAUUUUAAGUGAAAUAGACCCGAAGGUAAUCCGUCGAAACGUGUUUUAUUAGAUGCAGAAAGUAAUUCUGUGACUUUAUAUCCAAUCAUUUACAACUUUCAUUUGAGUAGAAAUAUUUCAUCGUUGUUUUGUUAUUAUAUGUUAGGUUGUAAAGCUUCUAAGUUGUCGAUCGGGUUUUCAUUACAACGAAUCUAUAGAACAAUCUAUAGACGUCGUAAUAGAGAUCAGGUUGAGAAUUUAGAAAGUUCAUACUUUAAUUUGCCAAAAUGACGAAUAAAUAUACCUGUUUAAAUCAGAGUUGUAAAUAAUAGAAACAAAGAAUUAAUUUCUACACCCAAUUCUACAUCCACAUUCUACGAAAAUUCCUACAUGUGAAAACAAUGGGUUUUCAAUUACAUUUUAAAAUAUAUAUUAUCGAAGAACAAAAUAAGAAGUAUCUUUUUUGAAAAUACUUGAAAAAUGAACCCUGUUAAGUUAAACUAUUGGAAUUCAAUUAGUCACAAAUUAAGAGAAAUCGUAGUAUCUAAACUGUAUCCCAUCUUUAUAAUUUGCAUUAAAAAAUAAUAAAAAAAGAAUGACCAGAAUAACACUUAUUAACAAUUUCGUCCGACUUGGCGCUACAUUUUUUAUUUACAUCUUCUAUAAGCAAACAAAAUACACUCGUCGAGUGAAUAUUCGUAAUUAGGUAACAAUUACUCUUUCUUUCAUUCAUAUUUUUUAACCCUUUACCACAAAUUAGUUCCAAUUUUAUUUAUUACACUUUCCGUGACAAAAACAAAGAACUUUGGAACGAAAUUAGACAGCCUACAAAUUCUUAUGGGAACCGUAAUUAAAUACUUCUAGAAUAAAGGGCGAAUAUAAAGAAAGAAGUAAACAAAUUUUACGAUCUGAAAAUAAAUGAAUCGGAUGUAAUCGUAUAUUUUUAAAAAAACCAAAAACAACGAUAAGUUGUAGAUCAAUUUAAAAGGUGCAUUUGGAAUUGGCUACCACAAAUAGUCUUUGUAUUAUUAUCAAACAUGAUCAAAGUUUGACCAAUUUUGUAAUGCGAAAAAUUUGUUGACCUCAAUCUCUAUAUUGUUCAUAGAUAAGAAUGUUGUUUUUUCUAGUUGUUUCAUAAUUACCCAACAAAGAGAUCACAUGACAAAACCCUCCAGUUCUCGGGUGAGAAGGGUGAUCGCAACGAAGUCACAUAUUUGUUUCGCAUACUUUCUAUCCGUGACUUCGUUUCCCAGAAACUCGAAAUCGAGAAUGCUCUUGUCCUGUUCAAAUUCGACACGAGUUUUUCCAGAAACGAAAGCACGUACAAACGAAUGGAACUCCACAUUUUCGAUGUAUAGUCAGCGGAAGGGAUCUUGUAUGGUCGUGAAAUCGGUCAGAAGCCGAACUUUACAACUCAAACCGAUCGCAAUUAGUAAACUGAAACAGAAGUUUAAACAAGGUUGGCACUGGACUUUUUUCAGAGUUAGGAGGUUUACAAUUCAAUGACCUUAUUCUUUUUAUCUAUGUUUAUGCAUAAUUUUUCAACACAUCUCACAUUUGAAACAUUGUUUUUGCCAGUUAAAUAACGUACCGGGUAAAAUUUAUUUAUACUGAUUGUUCGACUGAAAAUAAAGGUUUGGGUUCAAGAGUAAUACUAUGAUAGAAAAUACUAUGUUAGGUAAGAACUUGGUUAAAUCAUCAUCGUCGAAAGUUUUUGGUUUUUCCAGUUUAGAAAAACUUGAAGGUCGUAUUCAUAACGAAAUAGGACUAAACGAACUGCUUAUGCAACCCUCUGCAAAAUUUAAUCAACAGGUUCAUGAUGCAAUCAUUUUCGAAGGAACUUUAUUUUCUAAACAUUAGAAGUCCUAGAAAUCAAUUACCUGUGGCAAUAAAGUGCUGACUACUAAUCCUUUCAACCUAACUUUAUUCCGUUUAUAUUCUAUUCCCAUCGUUUUUAGAAAUCAAUUAUGUUAAACUAUGGUUAGCUAUAUAGCCAACCUAGAUAGAUGUAUAUAUAAGGCUAUACAGUAAAGACUGGUUAAGUGCAAGAUAGGAUUGACUGGAUAAAUGCAAGACUAUCCC